CUUCCCAUUUGACUACCUCUCUGUCGGUCCCACAGACGAAGAGGUUAUGCUUAUGGGAUAGAGAAAACGUUGCCACGGUCUGAAGGGGAAGGUUUCCCGUACCUUUUUUCUACAUGAAGUGGCACAACAGACAUCA